UAGGCUAUCACUACCUUAGGCUAAAAAUGGGCCAGUUAAUUGCAUUUAUAACAAAAACUGCAAACACCUAACAGUACUAGUUGGGCAAAGCACACAUUAGAUGUUCACCGUGACCUAGUACCAAAACUGUUUCCCAAAACCCAGAACACAAAUGAAGAAAUUGCCCAAUAAAGACCAACCCCAGCAAAAUUUAUGAGGAUUGUGCCUUCUUGUAUUAUUGUCCUUAGAAGUUAAUGUGAACGCAAGCAGAGCACCAAGCAUGGCUUAUGAAGAUGAAAGACAACAGCAGUAAGAACAUAAGAAGAGCCUGGUUGGCUCAGAUCAAAGCUCGGCCUAGCUCAGCAUCCAUCUUCCCACAGUGGCCAACCAGAUGCCUCGGGGAGCCCACAAGCAGGAUUAGAAGGAGAGAGGAGCAGGAUAUCCUUCAUAGGUUUCAUAGUCCAGAUGUGAAAUAAUGAUUUUUGAGAGUCUGGAAAAUGGGGACAAAGGGUGGUUUUUCUUUGAUGUUUUUCAUGUGCUGAGAUGAAUCUAUAGGGUACCCAUGCAUAAUCCUUAGGC